rnacentral:rRNA from 1 species
GACGAACGCUGGCGGCGUGCCUAAUACAUGCAAGUUGAGCGAUGAAGAUUGGUGCUUGCACCAAUUUGAAGAGCAGCGAACGGGUGAGUAACGCGUGGGGAAUCUGCCUUUGAGCGGGGGACAACAUUUGGAAACGAAUGCUAAUACCGCAUAAUAACUUUAAACAUAAGUUUUAAGUUUGAAAGAUGCAAUUGCAUCACUCAAAGAUGAUCCCGCGUUGUAUUAGCUAGUUGGUGAGGUAAAGGCUCACCAAGGCGAUGAUACAUAGCCGACCUGAGAGGGUGAUCGGCCACAUUGGGACUGAGACACGGCCCAAACUCCUACGGGAGGCAGCAGUAGGGAAUCUUCGGCAAUGGACGAAAGUCUGACCGAGCAACGCCGCGUGAGUGAAGAAGGUUUUCGGAUCGUAAAACUCUGUUGGUAGAGAAGAACGUUGGUGAGAGUGGAAAGCUCAUCGAGUGACGGUAACUACCCAGAAAGGGACGGCUAACUACGUG